AGAACGAACGCUGGCGGCAUGCCUAAUACAUGCAAGUCGAACGAAGGCUUCGGCCUUAGUGGCGCACGGGUGCGUAACGCGUGGGAAUCUGCCCCUUGGUUCGGAAUAACAGUUGGAAACGACUGCUAAUACCGGAUGAUGACGAAAGUCCAAAGAUUUAUCGCCAAGGGAUGAGCCCGCGUAGGAUUAGCUAGUUGGUGAGGUAAAGGCUCACCAAGGCGACGAUCCUUAGCUGGUCUGAGAGGAUGAUCAGCCACACUGGGACUGAGACACGGCCCAGACUCCUACGGGAGGCAGCAGUAGGGAAUAGUUGGACAAGUGGGACGAAAGCCUAGGACUCCGAGACAAU
rnacentral:rRNA from 1 species